AGCAGGGUAAGCUAAACAAGCUAUCGGGCCCAUACCCCGAAAAUGAAGGCACAACUCCUUCCCCUACUA
rnacentral:tRNA from 1 species